rnacentral:lncRNA from 1 species
GUUUUUCGUUUACUCAAAAAAAAAAAAUAUAUAUAUAAACAUAUAUAUUAUAUAAGUAUGUAUACAUGUGUAUAUAUAUAUAUAUAUACAUAUAUUAUAAUGUAUAUAUAUAAUUCUUCAGCGAAAUGUACACAAUAAACAAAAUACAUAAUCAAAUAAAAUAACAAAUAAUUUGAACUUAAACGUAAUAAAAUAAUAUUAAAACGUACCAAUAAUCGCAUUAAUUAUUAAUAAUAAUUAAAUUACACCUACGCGUAAAGUAUUGUGUUAAGUCAAAAGUUAUAUAGGAAUUAUUUUUUUUUUAUUAUUAUUAUUUUUUUUUUUUUUUUGUUUUUCAAUAUUAUCCUUCGUUUUUAAACUUGAUUCUAUAUUUAUAUAUUUUUUUAUUUUUAUACUAAAUUUAUUUCGUUUACCUUAAAUACAAAUUUCGUACUACAACAUAAUGUCUACUAAAAAUAUUGACUAAUUUAUUGGUUUUUUUUUUUUUUUGUUUUUUUUUAUAAAUAAAAUUAUCACAACGAAUUACGUUUGGAUACAAACGAUAAUAAUAAUAAAUAAUAUUGGAUGUUUCUACGGCGAAAAAUUCUCUAACGAAACGAUAAAUAAUAAAAAAAAAUAAAUACAAUGUAAGCGACCAAUCUCCCCCGGUCGGCGCGAACUCGUGCUGGAAACAUAUUGCACGCGUCCUGGAGGCGAAACAGAUUCGCGAUUUUGUCUGGCCGGAAAAAAAAAAUAAAAAUGUUUGUUACUCCGAGUGUAUAUUUGCAUUUUCGUCAUUCAUUGUUCGAAUUUUUUGGAAUGUUCGAAAUGAUUUUGUCUACAUCCAAUCACAAAAAGGAAACACGGCGGACGGUGACCGACGGGACAGGCGUAGCAAUAACGGAACAACAUUCGAGUAUAUUAUUGUUGCGCGAAAGCCGGGCGACUCCCGGCUGUCCCGUGGCAACGAGCGGUCGCCGUACAGAGCGCCGUCGGGCGGGAACGAUAAAAAAAAAAUAAAAAAAAAAACCCCCCCGAACGGCCGGAGAAAAACGCGAAGUGAUCAUCAGCAACGAACAAUUGGCGGAACGGUGGGGAGGAAAGGAAAAAAAACAACGACCCGAUGCGCGGUGCGCGAGGGAGCGCGGAGUAGAAGGAAACGGGGGCGAGGAGAAAGUGUUCAGCGACACCGUGCGGGUACCGGUUUCGCGGUCGGAGUGGCUAGGGGGCGCGCCGAGGGAGACGGCGGCAGAAGACCGUUUUGUGCGCGAAAACGAUGGCGGGUAAACGACGUUGUCGAUAACGGCGGCAUUGACGUCGACGUUGAAAAUAACGGUUCCGGGGCGAGGGUCGUGGAAAAACGGAAAAACAGAGUAAAAAAAAAAAAAAAAAAAAAAAACACAUACAAAAACCGAUAACGUCACCACGGCGGGGCACUAGGCGUGCCGUUUCGCGAGGAGCCCUCCGAAGCGGGCGUUUGUUACGCGGCUCGGUAUUGGCACGGCGGUACCGGACCGGUUUAUCGUCGCGCACCGGGCGUAUUUUUUCGUCGUUUUUCGGGGGUGGGGUGGGGUAAAACAAUAAUAAUAAUAAUAAUAAUAAUAAUAAUAGUAAUGUAAUAAUUAAUAAUUCGACUUGGCGCGUACGCACGACCGUAAUAUUAUACAUAAUGCGAUUAACAAUAUUAGUGUAAAAUACAAUUAUAAUAAAUAGGCUUUGUUGUAUUUCCGUUAAAAAAAAAAAAUAAUAAUUAUAAUAAUAAUAAUAAUAAUAAUAAUAAUAAUUAUAAAUCGACAGUUUAAUAUAAACAAAGACGUAUCCGCGCGAUGUGCGUGCGUCGCGACAAUAUGCAAUUAAUAAUAUAUGUACAAGAGUCGAGUAGUGGUGUAGAUGGCGGCGCGUACGCUUGAAAAACGAACGAAAAUCCGUGUGCGAACGAUAGUAUCCCC